rnacentral:rRNA from 1 species
CGGGGUACUCGAGCGGCGAACGGGUGAGUAACACGUGAGCAACCUGCCCAGGCUUUGGGAUAACCCGGGAAACCGGGGCUAAUACCGAAUAUGACCUCCGAUCGCAUGGUUGGUGGUGGAAAGUUUUUUCGGCUUGGGAUGGGCUCGACGGCCUAGUCAGCGUUGUUGGUCGGGGUGGACUGGCCUACCAAGGCGACGACGGGUAGCCGGCCUGAGAGGGCGACCGGCCACACUGGGACUGAGACACGGCCCAGACUCCUACGGGAGGCAGCAGUGGGGAAUAUUGCACAAUGGGCGGAAGCCUGAUGCAGCGAACGCCGCGUGAGGGAUGACGGCCUUCGGGUUGUAAACCUCUUUCAGCAGGGACGAAGCGUAAGUGACGGUACCUGCAGAAGAAGCGCCGGCCAACUACGUGCCAGCAGCAGC